GACGAACGCUGGCGGCGUGCCUAACACAUGCAAGUCGAACGGAGUUUAGUUAAUGAAUUUUUCGGAAGGAUUUGACGAAGACUUAGUGGCGGACGGGUGAGUAACGCGUGAGCAACCUGCCUUACAGAGGGGGACAACAGUUGGAAACGACUGCUAAUACCGCAUAUUGAAUUAGAACCGCAUGGUUUUAGUUUGAAAGAUUUAUCGCUUAUGGAUGGUCUCGCGUCUGAUUAGCUAGAUGGCGGGGUAACGGCCCACCAUGGCGACGAUCAGUAGCCGGUCUGAGAGGAUGAACGGCCACAUUGGGACUGAGAUACGGCCCAAACUCCUACGGGAGGCAGCAGUGGGGAAUAUUGCACAAUGGGCGAAAGCCUGAUGCAGCAACGCCGCGUGAAGGAAGAAGGUCUUCGGAUCGUAAACUUCUGUCCUUAGGGAAGAUAAUGACGGUACCUUUGGAGGAAAGCCCCGGCUAACUACGUG
rnacentral:rRNA from 1 species